rnacentral:rRNA from 1 species
GGAAGCUGACGCAUUACGCCGCGUGCGGGAAGAAGGCUUAGNGGUUGUAAACCGCUUUCAGCAGGGAAGAAAAUGACGGUACCUGCAGAAGAAGGUGCGGCCAACUACGUGCCAGCAGCCGCGGUGACACGUAGGCACCAAGCGUUGUCCGGAUUUAUUGGGCGUAAAGAGCUCGUAGGCGGUUCAGUAAGUCGGGUGUGAAAACUCUGGGCUUAACCCAGAGCCGCCACCCGAUACUGCUGUGACUUGAGUCCGGUAGGGGAGCGGGGAAUUCCUGGUGUAGCGGUGAAAUGCGCAGAUAUCAGGAGGAACACCGGUGGCGAAGGCGCCGCUCUGGGCCGAGACUGACGCUGAGGAGCGAAAGCAUGGGUAGCAAACAGGAUUAGAUACCCUGGUAGUCCAUGCCGUAAACGUUGGGCACUAGGUGUGGGCAUCAACCAACGAUGUCCGCGCCGUCGCUAACGCAUUAAGUGCCCCGCCUGGGGAGUACGGUCGCAAGACUAAAACUCAAAGGAAUUGACGGGGGCCCGCACAAGCAGCGGAGCGUGUUGCUUAAUUCGAUGCUACGCGAAGAACCUUACCUAGGUUUGACAUGUACGGAAUAGCCACAGAGAUGUGGUGUCCUUCGGGGGCGUACACAGGUGGUGCUUGGCUGUCGUCAGGUCGUGUUGUGAGAUGUGGGGUAAGUCCGCAGGAGCGCACCUGU